GGAAACUCACUCACAAGUUACUCAACCAUGAGGAAAAACUAAGUUACCUGCGAGUAAAUUACUCAUCACUCUCGGUGAGUGUGAGGGCCUUCCUCAUUUACUCACAAAGAGGGCUUUGAGCGCUCAUGAGGGCUAUUUUAGAAAACAAAUUUCGAGAUAUCAAACUCUACAUCGGUAAUUUUCUUAUUCAUUCAACAGCGAAAAAGUAGUCCUGUUGGUAGAGGCGCAGUGCUAUCAAUUACUGUUUGUUGUCAGCUUCCAGCUCUCCUACCGACGGAUUGGUCAAAGGUUGUUUAGACGGGGAAUGCCUCUGCGGAUUCAAAUGAAUUUCAUAUCGAUUUGCCCCAUUCGACAUUUCCUUUGAUUUUAAAGUGAAAAACACGGUAGAUUGAAAUGUUUUGGUUUUUGAAUGCGAGUGGCGAAAAACUCUUCAUUAGUAAGAUGGCCACGGACGAUACUGGUGGAAAAAUUGCUUUGCGGAGAUAAAUAUUCUUUUAGACAACUUCCUGAGAUUAUUUUUUAAUAAUUGUGCGCUUGUGGUAGGUAAAAUCAAAAGAAACAAUAGAGCUGUUUGAAAUUAAUGUUUAUAAUUUUUUCCAGAUGAUCAGGAUCCGGCCAGAGGUCGUCUUCGGAAUCUGCUCCUGAUCCUGAUCCGAAGCUGUGGUGCAAGUGGUGCCGGUGUUUCUUUAGAUUUAUCAUGAAAAACAGGGGCGGAAUACGGAUCCGCGAGCUGCCGGAUCGAGAAGAACAAAAUGAUUGUCUUGGUGCCAUUUUGCUCGGCCAGCUUCAACCCGUUCCUCAACGACCUGACCUUGGUGAUUCUCCGGUUCGGCAGGGCGUACUUCCCGGUAGAUCAACACAACGCCAGCCAGUGAAGUGAAGUGUGUGAUUUAUGUAAUUUACAUAAAAAAUAGAAAUAAAAGCUAUUUAUAAUUGAAA